UACGUAGGGGGCAAGCGUUGUCCGGAAUCAUUGGGCGUAAAGAGCGUGUAGGCGGCUCGGUAAGUCCGCUCUGAAAGCCCGGGGCUCAACCCCGGGAGGCGGGCGGAUACUGUCGGGCUAGAGUCCGGAAGAGGCGAGUGGAAUUCCUGGUGUAGCGGUGAAAAUGCGCAGAUAUCAGGAGGAACACCAAUGGCGAAAGGCAGCUCGCUGGGACGGUACUGACGCUGAGACGCGAAAGCGUGGGGAGCAAACAGG
rnacentral:rRNA from 1 species